rnacentral:rRNA from 1 species
UCAAGCGAAUAAGCGCACACGGUGGAUGCCUUGGCGGUCAGAGGCGAUGAAGGACGUGGCAGCCUGCGAAAAGUAUCGGGGAGCUGGCAACAAGCUUUGAUCCGGUAAUGUCCGAAUGGGGAAACCCACCCGCUUGCGGGUAUCCUGCAGUGAAUACAUAGCUGCUGGAAGCGAACCUGGUGAACUGAAAUAUCUAAGUAACCAGAGGAAAAGAAAUCAACCGAGAUUCCGUAAGUAGCGACGAGCGAACGCGGACUAGCCCUUAAGCUGAUUUGGUUCUAGGAAAACGCUCUGGAAAGAGCGGCCAUAGAAGGUGAUAGCCCUGUAUCUGAAAGGGCCAUUUCAGUGAAGACGAGUAGGGCGGGGCACGUGAAACCCUGUCUGAACAUGGGGGGACCAUCCUCCAAGGCUAAAUACUACUGACCGACCGAUAGUGAACCAGUACCGUGAGGGAAAGGCGAAAAGAACCCCGGAGAGGGGAGUGAAAUAGAACCUGAAACCGUGUGCGUACAAGCAGUAGGAGCUCCGCAAGGAGUGACUGCGUACCUUUUGUAUAAUGGGUCAGCGACUUACUGUUCGUGGCAAGCUUAACCGUAUAGGGGAGGCGAAGGGAAACCGAGUCUGAUAAGGGCGCAUAGUCGCGGGCAGUAGACCCGAAACCGGGUGAUCUAGUCAUGCCCAGGGUGAAGGUGCGGUAACACGCACUGGAGGCCCGAACCCACUCCCGUUGCAAAGGUAGGGGAUGAGGUGUGAUUAGGAGUGAAAAGCUAAUCGAACCCGGAGAUAGCUGGUUCUCCUCGAAAGCUAUUUAGGUAGCGCCUCAUAUGUAUCCUCUCGGGGGUAGAGCACUGUUAUGGCUAGGGGGUCAUCGCGACUUACCAAACCAUUGCAAACUCCGAAUACCGAGACGGACUGUAUGGGAGACACACGGCGGGUGCUAACGUCCGUCGUGAAAAGGGAAACAACCCAGACCCACAGCUAAGGUCCCAAAUUCACUGCUAAGUGGAAAACCAUGUGGAAAGGCACAGACAGCCAGGAGGUUGGCUUAGAAGCAGCCACCCUUUAAAGAAAGCGUAAUAGCUCACUGGUCGAGUCGGUCUGCGGGGAAGAUUUAACGGGGCUAAGCAGUGAACCGAAGCUUGGGGUGCAUAACUUUGUUAUGCGCGGUAGAGGAGCGUUCCGUAAGCCGUUGAAGGUGGAUUGAGAAGUCUGCUGGAGGUAUCGGAAGUGCGAAUGCUGACAUGAGUAACGAUAAUGCGGGUGAAAAACCCGCACGCCGAAAGCCCAAGGUUUCCUUGCGCAACGUUAAUCGGCGCAGGGUGAGUCGGCCCCUAAGGCGAGGACGAAAGUCGUAGUCGAUGGGAAGCAGGUUAAUAUUCCUGCACCUCGCGUAAGUGCGAUGGAGGGACGGAGAAGGUUAGGUGUACCAGGCGUUGGUUGUCCUGGGGAAAGGCGGUAGGUUUGGAUCUUUGGCAAAUCCGGGAUCCUUUAAGACCGAGCACCGAGACGAGCCUUUAUGGCAAAGUCACUGAUACCACGCUUCCAGGAAAAGCUCCUAAGCUUCAGCUUACGCAGACCGUACCGUAAACCGACACAGGUGGGUAGGAUGAGAAUUCUCAGGCGCUUGAGAGAACUCGGGUGAAGGAACUAGGCAACAUGGCACCGUAACUUCGGGAGAAGGUGCACCCUUUUUGGUGGCUCGUGCGAGCUAUAGCUGAAGAGGGUCGCAGUAACCAGGCCGCUGCGACUGUUUAUCAAAAACACAGCACUCUGCAAACACGAAAGUGGACGUAUAGGGUGUGACGCCUGCCCGGUGCUGGAAGGUUAAUUGAUGGGGUCAGCCGCAAGGCGAAGCUCUUGAUCGAAGCCCCAGUAAACGGCGGCCGUAACUAUAACGGUCCUAAGGUAGCGAAAUUCCUUGUCGGGUAAGUUCCGACCUGCACGAAUGGCGUAACGACAGCGGCGCUGUCUCCACCCGAGACUCAGUGAAAUUGAAAUCGCUGUGAAGAUGCAGCGUUCCCGUGGCAAGACGGAAAGACCCCGUGAACCUUUACUAUAGCUUUACACUGAACGUUGAGUUCGUCUGUGUAGGAUAGGUGGGAGGCUAUGAAACUGUGGCGCUAGCUGCAGCGGAGCCAUCCUUGAAAUACCACCCUGUCGUGCUUGACGUUCUAACCUGGGCCCAUUAUCUGGGUCGGGGACCGUGUAUGGUGGGUAGUUUGACUGGGGCGGUCUCCUCCUAAAGAGUAACGGAGGAGCUCGAAGGUACGCUCAGCGCGGUCGGACAUCGCGCACUGUGUGCAAAGGCAUAAGCGUGCUUGACUGCAAGAUCGACGGAUCAAGCAGGUAGGAAACUAGGACUUAGUGAUCCGGUGGUUCUGUAUGGAAGGGCCAUCGCUCAACGGAUAAAAGGUACUCCGGGGAUAACAGGCUGAUACCGCCCAAGAGUUCAUAUCGACGGCGGUGUUUGGCACCUCGAUGUCGGCUCAUCACAUCCUGGGGCUGUAGUCGGUCCCAAGGGUAUGGCUGUUCGCCAUUUAAAGUGGUACGCGAGCUGGGUUCAGAACGUCGUGAGACAGUUCGGUCCCUAUCUGCCAUGGGCGUUGGAGAUUUGAGAGGGGCUGCUCCUAGUACGAGAGGACCGGAGUGGACGAACCUCUGGUGUUCCGGUUGUCACGCCAGUGGCAUUGCCGGGUAGCUAUGUUCGGAAGCGAUAACCGCUGAAAGCAUCUAAGCGGGAAGCGCGCCUCAAGAUGAGAUCUCCCGGGGCACAAGCCCCCUGAAGGAACCAUGUAGACUACGUGGUUGAUAGGUCAGGUGUGUAAGUACAGCAAUGUAUUGAGCUAACUGAUACUAAUGAUCCGUGCGGCUUGACCAU